GUGCCUAAUACAUGCAAGUCGAGCGAACGGACGAGAAGCUUGCUUCUCUGAUGUUAGCGGCGGACGGGUGAGUAACACGUGGAUAACCUACCUAUAAGACUGGGAUAACUUCGGGAAACCGAAGCUAAUACCGGAUAAUAUUUUGAACCGCAUGGUUCAAAAGUGAAAGACGGUCUUGCUGUCACUUAUAGAUGGAUCCGCGCUGCAUUAGCUAGUUGGUAAGGUAACGGCUUACCAAGGCAACGAUGCAUAGCCGACCUGAGAGGGUGAUCGGCCACACUGGAACUGAGACACGGUCCAGACUCCUACGGGAGGCAGCAGUAGGGAAUCUUCCGCAAUGGGCGAAAGCCUGACGGAGCAACGCCGCGUGAGUGAUGAAGGUCUUCGGAUCGUAAAACUCUGUUAUUAGGGAAGAACAUAUGUGUAAGUAACUGUGCACAUCUUGACGGUACCUAAUCAGAAAGCCACGGCUAACUACGUGCCAGCAGCCGCGGUAAUACGUAGGUGACAAGCGUUAUCCGGAAUUAUUGGGCGUAAAGCGCGCGUAGGCGGUUUUUUAAGUCUGAUGUGAAAGCCCACGGCUC
rnacentral:rRNA from 1 species